rnacentral:rRNA from 1 species
GGCGUCGUCGUCAGCUCGUGUCGUGAGAUGUUGGGUUAAGUCCCGUAACGAGCGCAACCCUUGUCCUUAGUUACCAGCACGUUAUGGUGGGCACUCUAAGGAGACUGCCGGUGACAAACCGGAGGAAGGUGGGGAUGACGUCAAGUCAUCAUGGCCCUUACGGCCUGGGCUACACACGUGCUACAAUGGUCGGUACAAAGGGUUGCCAAGCCGCGAGGUGGAGCUAAUCCCAUAAAACCGAUCGUAGUCCGGAUCGCAGUCUGCAACUCGACUGCGUGAAGUCGGAAUCGCUAGUAAUCGCGAAUCAGAAUGUCACGGUGAAUACGUUCCCGGGCCUU